AUUUUACUCUUUUUUUUAUAUUUUUUAUUUAUAUUUGUCUGAUUUUUAUCUAGAUGUUACUGUCGUUUUGUGCGAUUUAGUUGUUUUUUCUUUAACGUUGAGGAUGCUGUGAGCCUAAGAAUUUAAUUGCCAAAUAAAAACUGAAACGUCUUUAAUGACUGUGUGUAGUGAUGUUUUUAAAGAUGUUACAUAAACGAUCUUCUCUUGUAUCGUGACCCAAAAUGGCCUGACUCAAGAAGUCACAGUGGAUUCUGUGGAACAGAGAAAUUGGGUGGGUCAGUUUGUUGUGUAAUUCAGUUGAGUUAAUAAUUUUGCACGUGUAAUUCCAACUAAAAACACACCAGUGAUUUCAUAAUCCUGCUGCUCCUGUCGUGUAUAUAAAGGCAGGAGUUUCUGUCAGAGAUCAGCAGCGUUCAGCCGUCCAGAAGACUUCAUCCAGCCACACAGCGUCUCUGCACACUCGAACUCAAAAUGCCCGAGUACAUCACUGAACUCCAAGUGUCUUGGAAUAAAGAUGAUGAGGAGACUUUCAGUAAGCAAGGCUUCAGUAAAAUUCCUGUUAAUCUGAACCAAGGAGCUGGAGGAAACAUCAUCUACCUUUGGUACAAGAAAGGCAUGGGCGCAGGAAUCUCCACCAUUCAAUUUUCAUUCAGCCAAGAGAUGACCAAUGGCCUGCUCGAAGCAAAAUAUACAAAGAUCAAUGAAAACCUCAAUGAGGGAGCAGGUGGAGACGAAAUCUACCUGUGGUACUCCAAGUCUGACAAGAAUGUUCCCAUCAAGAACAUUGAUGUCACUGAAGAUGCAGAUGCUGAAGCUCAGAAGUUUAAAGACAGCUGGGAGAGACUGGCCUGUGACCUGAACCGCAAUGCUGGAGGAAACCUGAUCUACAUGUGGGUGGAGAGGGAGACACAAACCUACAUCUCUGAGAUCAAGACCACUAUUAACUGCAGUGGAGAUGGGGAUAAUUUCAACAAUGGCUACAUCCGAGUGGAUGAAAACACCAACAGGGGUACAAAUGAGAGAGGUAGUCCUACGCCUACCAUCUUCCUCUGGUACCGCCUGAGCACCUACCCCAAGGAUGCCUUCAGAGAUCUGAAAGUCUCCACAAACCAGAGCGAAUAUGAAAAGUAUCAAAAUGCAGGCUAUCAGCGGGUGAACCAGGACCUGAACGAGGGGACUCGAGGAAACAAGGUGUUCCUGUGGUACAAGAAAGACGGCAGUAAAAACCCCAUCAAGGCCGUCACUGUGAUCACCAACAUCCCAGGAGCUGUGGGGCCGUACCAGAGUGCCGGGGUCAACGUCAUCGAGGGGAGCCUAAACGCGGGCGGCAACGGUGUUCCCAUUUAUGUGUGUUUUAAUCAGUGAGGGUAACCAUGGUAACAGAGCUGAGCAUGCUCACUGAGCAGAAAGAUGUUUCUGUUAAAAUGGUUUGGUGAUGGGUUUUCUUUCCUUUCUGUAAUGAUCUUCAAUCACUGUGAUCUCAGAGCUUUGACUCCACCAGUGAUCAUUGAUCCAAUCAAUCUGUUUGAUUAGCUCUGUAUCACUUUAUUCUGAUGAUUGUCUCUGUUUCAAUAAAGCCUCUUUAGCAUCUGAAA
ensembl:lncRNA